CCCACCACCCCCAUAUCCCCCUCAGUUGUUGUGACCUGGGGCCUGAAGUGAAAGCUAUGUGCACCUAUAUUACCAGUCUGCUCAGUCAGACACUCGGCAGCCGUUGUUAGGUUGUAAUUAUGUUUGCACGGACAGUCUGCUGAGGGCUUGUUCACUAAUGAAGUGUGGUCGAGCUGUGUCCUGGGUAGAAAGCCCUUUCUUCUAACAUGACUGAGGAUACGAUUCAGACUGACAUAUUUCAGUUCCCUGUCUCCAUACUGGGUGCAGGAUCCUUAACGGUGGGUCGUGCCAGAAACACAGUUCCCCUCAGGAAGCAGCUCAGCCAUGCUAUUUUAGGGUGUGUGAGUGAAUUUGAGUAUAUCAGUCUGUAUACGGCAGUGAUUGUGCUGGUUUACAAGGCUUUUAAAACAUGAACAAUUUUAGUUGCCUUCAAUGAUUUUUUAGGUGCUGAGUUCAGAUUCUGUUUCCAACACUGAUUCACAAUCCUCAUCUGAUUUGUAGGUGCUAAAGCCCUC